AGUGGGUGUAGCGUACCUACUAGCCUACGACGGGUACGGGUUGUGAGAGCAAGAGCCCGGAGAUGGAUUCUGAGACACGAAUCCAGGCCCUACGGGGUGCAGCAGGCGCGAAAACUUUACAAUGCUGGCAACAGCGAUAAGGGGACCUCGAGUGCCAGGUUACAAAUCUGGCUGUCGUAAUGCCUAAAAAGCAUUGCAUAGCAAGGGCCGGGCAAGACCGGUGCCAGCCGCCGCGGUAACACCGGCGGCUCGAGUGGUAACCGUUAUUAUUGGGUCUAAAGGGUCUGUAGCCGGCCGGAUAAGUCUCUUGGGAAAUCUGGCAGCUUAACUGUCAGGCUUUCAGGAGAUACUGUCUGGCUCGAGGCCGGGAGAGGUGAGAGGUACUUCAGGGGUAGGGGUGAAAUCUUGUAAUCCUUGAAGGACCACCAGUGGCGAAGGCGUCUCACCAGAACGGACCUGACGGCAAGGGACGAAAGCUAGGGGCACGAACCGGAUUAGAU
rnacentral:rRNA from 1 species